CGUUCCCCAUUUUGCAGGGAAACCAAGGCCAGUAGAGGUGAAGCGGCAUACCCCAGGUCAUCACUCAGAUCGCUUGCCUCCAAGUCCAAGGCUCUUUCCCCUCCCAAUUCUCCUGAUCUGUGACCUCCUGGGCAUUCUGGCCAAUCUGCUUCCCUCUGACUUUGCAGACUGCACUGAUGGAACUACCACUAAGGCAGGUGUGGAGCCUGCAAUCUCCUGACCAGCUUGUGCUUCUUGGUUCUUAUGCAAGCCAGUUCUCUCUGUGAAAUAUUUCUAAGCAGCCCUCAACCACCAGGUCUAUGAGGGUCCCUGUUGUCCCUCAGCCAAGGCUGCUCUCUCCCCUAGAUCCCCACCUCACCAGGGUCACAAGGAUACACACAACUAUUGCAGGAAACAUAGGUUCUUCCUGCAAUACAAUUAAAGCUGCUAACAUUUACUGAGUACCUACUGGUUGUUGUGAGGAUAUUGAGGUUCAGAAGGGCUAAGUGACUUGCCCAAGGUCAUCCAGUUAAUUGUUAAGGCAGUAUUCAUAACUCGAGCCUGUCAGACUCUAGAAUCCACUUUAUUUUUCCUCUGCUACACUGCCCUGGCUCCCUACCCUACAAGUGCUUAGAGAUCUAAAGCAAAGUAGAAAAGGAAAAGUGAGCAAGACGGAGGGGCUUUUACAUUUUCACUGCCUGGCUCCCAACCCAGACUCUGGCAAGGCUAAUUCCAUGAUGU
rnacentral:lncRNA from 1 species